UGUGCCUGAAAAAUCUCUUUCAUGGCAGUUUCCUCUCCUAACACUUCCCUGGGGAAUUUCCCCUCAGGGUGUGAGGCAACAUUAGAUUGUGACUAUGAUAAGAUGUUCCCUUGGAGGAGUCUUGUAUGAAAAACAGCCUUCGCAUCUGUUGUUUUCCUUAUUUAGGGUCUAUUUCACGCUGAAUGAUCCUGGAACACACCCCAGGCCUCUGUCUGGACUCCUCUGCAGCCUGUACUUCCUCUUCAGCACUGCAGCUCCUGAAACACUUGGUGACAUAUGGUAGCCUAUCUGUGAAGUGUGCUCAGUGCACUCCAUUUGCUUUCUCACUCUGCAGGCUGGUGCAUCGUGUUGGGCUUCGUAUUUCUUAAAGGGAGACUGAUAAACUGAUAGUUGGCCACCUGAAAUCUUUUUUUUGGAACAAGACUGGAACCUGACACAUCGGCCAGAACAGAAGGCAUGAAAGUGCUGUGACAGUGAUCCAGCCGGGCCAUUCUGUCCAGAGCCACGCAGCCCUGCAGCUGUUAGCCUGGAGGACUUCAUGGCCUCAGCCCGUGUUGUCGAUGGAGAAGAACUGGAACCAUUGAAGAGUCUUCAUGUUGCACACACUGUCUCCUUCACCAUCCAUGAAUGUGGGGACGCAUGGAUCCCACAUCCAUGAAUUGGGAAUGUGGGGUAAGGGAGCAGGCUGGGAACAUUCACUGGAAUCAACAACUUCGAAUUGAAAUUCUUUGCCCUUGAGAACUUUGGCCAAGGAAGAUCCUGGUUGUAUGCCCUCUCCUACCCUUUAUAGUCUAUGGAAAUCCUUCAUCUUUUUAAAAUCGUUUGGAAUGAAAAAAAUUUACACAGUGAAUUUUUCUUAUCUAGAACUUAUACCUUAAGGGCCCUGACCACUUGUUACUUUAAUGAAUUUUAAUACUAAUCUUUCUAAAAUGAAUUGCACACUUCUUUGCUUUCCGAAAAGAUCAAGUGAAGAUAGUAUACAUUUUUCAUUUUCCUAUUUACUGUCAGGUGCUCUGUUGUCACUUUCCAUGGCUGCCUCUAACCGACUUUGUCCCCGUAUCUAAUUUGCUGCUUCUGAAUGGCAGUGAGCAAAAACUCAACAUGCUGAGCUUAAAAAUAUAUUUAUACAGGUGAUGUAUGUUUUUGAAGAGGGGAGGAGAAACUCUCUCAAGUCAAGUGCAUGAGCUGUGCCUGGGGACACAUAUUUCUGCUUUAUGGAGACCUUUAAAAAUACUCUCCCCAAACUUUUCUUGUUCAUCUUUGAUUCUCAGUGGUGUCCUAGACAUUUGAAGUUAGCAGAUAAAUAACCCUCAGAUAAGUAAAGAGUUGUGGACUGACUGUUCUUCAAAGGUUAGAAAACAGAUCAAAUAUAUCCAUUUCCCAAUUGGGAGUGGGGGUCAGCUGCAGAGCAGCCAGCAAAGACACUUAAUUCAAGCUUAAUCGCUUCUCCCAUGCUGACUGGAUGUGAAUGCGGGGUCUUUCACAGUGACGAUGGCUGUGGCAACAGAAGGAGGAGCACAGAAGGCUCCUGGAGGUGCUGUGCACUGGAAACAGGUUGGAUGUGUGCUAUUUGGGUGUAGCAGACAACACGGGGAGAAGUCUUCUGCAGAAGGAGGCAUAGCCCAAACCCAAGCAAGACGAUACUCCACUCCAAGUGCUACUGUCAGGGAGUGGAACCUCUACAUGUGAGAAACUGGGAAGAAGCGAACAGUUCUGCAGUGGGGCAGGAGAGAGUCAGCACACCCUUACUUCAGUAAUUUUACCGUCUAUUAUAUUGUUGUAAAUCUACUAUACCUUAUUUAUUUCACCCUUUCAAAUUCUAAAGUGACAGUAAUUUACAUGAUCUCCUAUGCAGUGGUGGUAUAUUUUCCCCGGUUCUUUUCCAAAAGAUUCCACUUUUCUGUUUUAUAUAUACUAUUGUCUACUAAGCUCAACGUAUUGAAGAGUAUCUUGAUAUUCUUCUCUAUCCAACUGUGUUCACAAGAAAGAAACUUACAAGUUCUUUCACUAAUAAAUUAUAAAUGAUUAAUAAAGCUUAAUACUAUCACACCUAAAUGUAUAAUAGAAAAUGAAUGUUUAGAGCCAAAGAUAGUCAUGUUUAAUCACAUAAUUGUUAAGAAGAAUUUGAGACUUCAUCCUACUUAUAAGAUAACAAGAAAGCUUGUUAUAGCUUCAUGGUGCUUGUAGAAGAUAUGAGUCUCCUGGGUCAGAGACAGAGGAUACUCUAUUUAUUCACUGCAGUUUUAGAGCCGGAUAUCGGUCCUAACUCUCACCAAGUGAUGUGGAAAAUGUGAGAUGACACUUACUUUGCAGUGAUUGUGCUACCAGGGGUACAGAAGGAAUCCAGAAUUUAGUGAAUUUAAGUCUUUUAUGAUGGGCAGUAAAUAUGUCUGCUUUUCUUGGGAGGGAGACAACUAUACAUUCCAAGACUCUUCAUUAGAUAAGCAUGCUAGAGAGGAAUAAUGGUAAGUAGAAACAGGAGAGACCUAUGGAGAUUUGACCCUCAAUAACAUCUGCAGAUCAACAAGAGCCACUGGAGAUGUCACGGUGAGAAUUUGUUUUUGCUAAGUUUUAAGUAGUACUAGAGGCAGUCGUGUACUUUGCUUAUGCAAAGUCUGAAUUCAGUUUUCCAAAUUUUCCCAGAGUCUUCCUACUUUACGUAUAUUUCUAUCAAUAAAUAUAUAAUUACAAUUUUGUUUUUUUCCUGGGAAUAAAAGUAAUGCAUGGUCAUUAUAGCAAAUGUGGAGAAGUAGGAAGGAAAUAUAAAAAUCAUUCACAGUUUCAUCACUCAGAGGUAAACCUUCAUUAAAAUGUUGGCUUUUUAAAUGGUUCAGUCCAUAUUCUUUUUCAUGUAAAUUGAGAUAAUGUUAUUUACUUAUGUAUUUUGAUAGUUUUGCUUUUUUACAUAUGGAGAGAAUUGUACAAGGUCAUGAGUUAUUGCAUAAAAUUAUGAUUUUAAAAUAAUUGCAUAAUAUUCUUACAGUAAUAUGCCAUUUUAAAAAACUAUUCCUUCAGUGUUAGAAAAUUUGCUAUUAAAUAGUACAAUGAUGAAUAUUCUGGUACAUAAAUGCUUUUCAUUGCUGUUAGUUAGCUUCCUAUAAGAAAAAUUAUGGAAUUGAAGUGUCUAGUUUUAUUUUAAGGUUCUAUUUCCAGACUGCUUUCAAGAAAGAUUAUACCAAUUUACAUACAUAGAACAAUGUUGGUGAUUGUUUUUCUCCUCACAUAUUCAAUACAGUUGAAUGUUUUAAUUUUAAAACCUGUUAAUAAGAUAGCUAAAAAUAUGCUUUUAAAUUAGCAUUUUUUGAUUACUAGUAAAAUAUAGUUGUGCCUUAAUAUGGGGGGGGGGCUUUGGCUCCAGAACCUCUCUGGGAACCAAAGCCUGCUGAUGCUCAAGUAUCUUAUAUCACAAGGUGUGGUAUUUGCUUAUAACCUAUUCUCAUCCUCUAGAUAUGUUAAAUCUUCCCUAGAUUACUUAUACAGCCUAAUACAAUGAAAAUACCAUGUAAAUACUUGUUAUAUUGUAUGGUUUAGGGAAUAAUGACAUGAAAAAAAUAAGUCUGUACAUGCUCAGUAUGCCACUGUUUUAGAAAAACAUUUUUAAUUCAAGGUUGUUUAAAUCAUUUUGUUACAAAACCUUUGGAUAUGAAAAGCUGUUAUCUUUCUCUGUUAUUUAAUGGAUCCUUUGUAUUUGUUUUUAAAAUCUGCUCAUGACCUUUUUCAUUAUCCUAAUAAAGUUUUAAUAUUUUUCUUACUAAAGAAAAGCUUUCCAAAUACCCUGUCUGUAACAUUUUGUAUACUAGAAUUUUGUAAAGUAUCUCCCUAAAUGGUUUAUUUUUAAGUUGUAUUAAUGCUGAUUUUAGACACUUGGACAUUAAACAUUGUCUGGCCAUUAUGCAGAUGCCUUCUUCUAUUGCUUAGGAAUUCUUGCCCACUUGGGGUUAAAUUUACUACA